AAAAGAUGAAAAGUUGGAUCUUUUUAAUCCUCACGAGAAAGGAUUGACAGCCAACUACCAUUGGCAAAGCUGAUAUGCUUAUCACUUGUAAUACAACAUAGAAUUCAACCAUGGUCCUUCAGCAUUGCCCUUCCUCUUUUGGUUCAAAAGCUUCUUAUAUAUACAUGCAACCACAAUGCAAGUAUAAAUUCUUCAGCCUUUUGUUUACUUGAUUGGGAAAAGCUUAAAACAAAUUCAGAGAAAUACAAAUGGGUUGUGUUGUGUCAUCUAAAAGCAAAGGAGAAGUAAAGAAGAUUCGAAAGCCUAAACCAUGGAAGCUACCACAAGUGAUAACACAGAGUCAGCUGAUGCAGAUGCGCGAGGAAUUCUGGGACACUGCUCCUCACUAUGGUGGCAGGACAGAGAUAUGGGAAGCACUACGUGCAGCUGCUGAAGCUGAUCCAGACCUUGCUCAAACGAUAGUUGAAAGUGCUGGGGUAAUUGUUCAGGGUGCAGAUCUGAGUAUAUGCUACGAUGAAAGAGGUACCAACUUCAUCCCAAAGAAAGUAUAUAAGUAAAAUUUCCUAGCAAAGGCCUUUCAGUCUCGCUCCCUUCCACGAAGUCGAGUCAAGCUUGGUCAGAGGGCAAAUGGGCAAAAUAUGAACUCCCAAAGUAUGUUUUGAGCGAUCCAACAAAUCUAAUACAAGCUAGAUGAGAAAUUCAAGAAACAGAUGUGGAAAAUCAUACUGAAGAUACUGCUGAAAUUAUUUGUAAAUCAAGCAUGUAAACAUGCCACGUGAUGUAUAAUAGUUUGGCUCACAUCUCAACCAAAUCUAGUGUUCAUUUUA